UACGUAGGGAGCAAGCGUUGUCCGGAUUUAUUGGGCGUAAAGAGCGUGUAGGCGGCCAGGUAGGUCCGCUGUGAAAACUCGAGGCUCAACCUCGAGAUGUCGGCGGAAACCAUCUGGCUAGAGUCCGGAAGAGGAGAGUGGAAUUCCCGGUGUAGCGGUGAAAUGCGCAGAUAUCGGGAAGAACACCCGUGGCGAAGGCGGAUCUCUGGGCCGAUACUGACGCUGAGGAGCGAAAGCGUGGGGAGCGAACAGG
rnacentral:rRNA from 1 species